rnacentral:misc_RNA from 1 species
GAUGAAGAACGUAGCGAAAUGCGAUACGUAAUGUGAAUUGCAGAAUUCAGUGAAUCACCGAAUCUUUGAACGCAUAUUGCGCUCUCUGGUAUUCCGGAGAGCAUGCUUGUUUGAGUAUCAGUAAACACCUCAACUCCCCUUUCUUUUUUUGAAAUGGGAGCUGGACUUGAGUGAUCCCAACGCUUUUCUCACCGAAAAGUGGCGGGUUACUUGAAAUGCAGGUGCAGCUGGACUUUUCUCUGAGCUAAAAGCAUAUCUAUUUAGUCUGCCUAAAAAACAGAUUAUUACCUUUGCUGCAGCUAACAUAAAGGAGAUUAGUUCUUGUGCUGACUGAUGCAGGAUUCACAGAGACAGCUUCGGCUGGCCUUUGUAAACUCGAUCUCAAAUCAAGUAAGACUACCCGCUGAACUUAAGCAUAUCAAUAAGCGGAGGA